AGCUUUUGGAAAUUUUUUCAAUUUAGUAUAUUAUAAUUGAUUGAGCAAAAAAUCGAAUCAUGAGUCGUUAAAAAAAGAAUACGCCAGACACUUUUAUUGAUGGCUUUCGUGUGUUGGAAUGCAAUGCCGGUCUCAUUGAUUAGAAUUGAUUAGCAGGAUAUGAAAGUAAACAAUUUACAUUUAUGCAGUGAAUCUCAAAUUUAAAUAUGAACAAGAAGAAGAUAUUUUGGAAAUCAUUUAAGAAAAAAACUUUGCAAUAACUCCUAAUGCGGAAAUGUUCAGUCCCGGUAAAAAGGAAGGCACCAUAACCAAAAUGACGGUAGAGCUUUGCAGUUUCUCCAAUUUCCCAUACCAAAUACAUCAUUAUUAUGCAUUAAGAGAAAUUAUAAAUCGAAAACUUCUGCCCACACUGAAAUACGCCAUGAGAUAAUAGCACUGUUCGUUGAGAAAUUUCAGUAUGAAUUACAAUAUAUGUAUAGUAACGAAAUGUCAAAAA
rnacentral:lncRNA from 1 species